UACGUAGGGAGCGAGCGUUGUCCGGAUUUAUUGGGCGUAAAGAGCUCGUAGGCGGCUUGGUAAGUCGGAUGUGAAAGCUCCAGGCUCAACCUGGAGUCGCCAUCCGAUACUGCCAUAGCUAGAGUCCGGUAGGGGCCCACGGAACUCCUGGUGUAGCGGUGAAAUGCGCAGAUAUCAGGAAGAACACCGGUGGCGAAGGCGGUGGGCUGGGCCGGUACUGACGCUGAGGAGCGAAAGCGUGGGGAGCGAACAGGAUUAGAAACCCCUGUAGUCC
rnacentral:rRNA from 1 species